ensembl:lncRNA
ACGCUCCCCUGUUGCGAGAUCAGAGAAAAAGAGACAUUUCAUGUCCCUUUCCCAUCACGGCUUUUUGAUAGAAAAGAAAUGGUUCGUAGCUGAAAGGAAGGGAGGGAAGGAAAGCAAGAAACAAAUCAGGAAAAAGAAGAAGAAAGCGACAGCUUUUGAGUUUGCUGAAAACUGUCACAGUGGCUCAUGGAACAAAUCUGGAAGUGGUGUUACCAACAGACGUCCGGAAGGCACGGACUGAAGCGAGGGAAGGGGCAGCCCGGAGCCACCACCUAAGAAAUCCUGGAAUUUUGAGAAAGAUUUCCUGGAAGGAGGCUGCGUGCCAGCUGGCACGGGGUCAUCUGGAUGCAGUUCACAUUUUUCUCAUUAACCAGUGUUGACUUCUUAUUAUCACAGAAGCGCUCCAUGGCCGUUGCGGAAACAGACGGGGACCAGUAACGGAGAAGUGAGAACAGUCCCAUAGCAUUACCCUCAGAAGCAGCGGUCGCAAAUGUGCUUGCAGCCCUUCUCUGCCUACCUGCGGACAUGAGUGAUCACGUCAUAGACGUGCGUAGCCUUCUGUUGAGUGCGAUUUUAAAGACAGAAAAUCGCACAUGUAACUUCACAAGAGGUGUGUCCCCUCCGGUUAUGCGGUGGUGGCAGCACACAGAGUGCGGGCCCUGCCCCGAGUGCUCUCUGUCCCAGCCCUGCCCCUUGAGCAGUUGUGGCGCAGAGAGGUUGUGUGGCUUGGCCAGGGUCGCAUGGAGUUAAGUGGUGGGGCUGGAACUUGAGCCCAGGCAGUGGCUCCAGCCUCUGGGAUCUAAACCUCUUCUCAGGUCAAUUCGUGACAUUUAACUAUCCUGUAGUGGUUCAUUGUAUUGAUUUGCUAUAAUUUAUUGAAAUGGUUGCAUUUUUGUUUCAAUUUUUUUCUCUUCUAUAAAGCACAUUGCAAGGAACAUCUUAUAACCAAAUGCCUGUCCUCAAACUAAAUGAUUUCUCCCCCUCUGGUCCAACCUCCGGAGAAUUCCCUCCACAUCUCUGUGCCCUUCUCUGCGUCCAUCCUUCCCCUGGAUGUGCUCACACCUGUCCACACAGGGAGAGCCUUGACUCGCCAGGGGGGGCUGCUCCAGACACGCAGGUGCCGGGAACCGGCACAACGACCUGCGGUGCGUCUCUCUGGAAUCCGAGCGCAGAAUGUCCCCAGUGGGUUCCAGAAACGUCCCACCCCGACGAACCACUCCAGGGCCUGCAUGGGGCUGAGCUUCUGCUUCGUGUGUCUGCAAAGCCCUGGGGUCCCGGCUGCCUUGGCCGGGCUUCCUGGGUCCACACAGAUGGGCAUGUCCUCUGGACCCAGAUGGCGGAACUGGGGCCUGUGCCCCUCGUCUCGCUUGCCGGGGUCAAGGUUGCCCUCGUGUAAAUAAGUGUCUCCAGACUCGCCGGAGGAAUUGGGUUGUGGCUGGAGGGUCUGUGCGAGCCAGGAGGGUGGACCGUGGUCUGCAGCCGGCACACCUCCAGGAGCCUGCUCGUUCCCGAGUUCUCAACGCAGAGAGCGCCACAGCUGUCGCCAGCCCUUCCCUCCGCGCCUCCGGGCUGGUCAGGGGGAGGAGGUCAGGCACAACUGGAGAUACCGCGGAUGUUUGUCCACAGGUCAGAGGAGCUCCAAGCCCCCCACCCCGCCCCGCACCCUCUGUUCUGCCUGACCCCGGCCACAGCGCCCACCUGCUGCCCCUCCCGAGCUCAGAGCACCCCAGGAGUUUUGUCCCUGGACAGAGUGGACUCUGUCCCGUCCGCCGGCCACAAGGCAUAGAGGGAGGAGAUCUGACCGUGGGCACCGGCACCCGGAGCCUUCAGACCCAGCCGUUCCUCUUCUGGAGCUUCCGCCACAGCCAAGAGAGGUGCUGAGCGACGCGUGGAUGCUGAGCUGCGUGGGGAAUGGCAGGGACUGACCGGAAAUACCCUGACCCUCUGGGGCCAGGAUGGACGUCCACGCAUCCAGCUGGCCCGAGGCGGGAGGGACUCUCAGGUGCCCCCAGCCGGGACAACGCCACGCCAACCAGGACAGUGACCAUAACCAGAGCGGCGUGGCUGGCGGGGAACCUACUUCCCAUUUUCAAACUUUUGCAAUUACUUCCACUCUUUCCACGUCAAUGUAUUUGCUGGUACAAUAUUCAACUCAAGAAAAAU